AUCCUGCUGAGUGGGGUCGGAAUACCUAACUCGCUUAUUUGUGCAAAAGCGCUGCUCAUGGUUAAUGAUCAUGAUUUGUUUUUGUCAAAACUUUUCAAACUGCAGGCACACUCUAAAAUACCCAAUGACUGCCACCACAGCAGUC